rnacentral:lncRNA from 1 species
GUCGUCUUGGGUGCAUAGUGUCUGAAUCUCUUAUGGCGAUGGGGUAAGGUUUGGGGUGCUUGAGUUCCUGACAAGCUUCCAUUUAAAUUUGCCCCAUUGACAAAAGACUUUUUCAAUGAUGGUAGGAAGUUUGAGGGGGCAGAAAAUUGAUGCACAUGUUUGGGGGUUCAUUAUCUCCAUAGGUUCACGGUCAAACCAGGUGAUAGAGUAGGAGCCCACAAUCUUGGCAUUGGUUCC